AUGGCGCGCUUGGGGGCUGGCCGUCCUCUUCGGCCGCGUGGGUGGCGUGAGGACGGCGAGGUCUUGAUGCAGCGGCGGGUUGCUUUUCUUCCUCCUGGCCCCUUCCCCUCGCGGUGGUCUCAUCUCGCCGAUCUGGUGGCUGGCCUGUCAGAUCUGACCGUCGAGGAUGGGGUGGUGGAGUCUUGGAAUGGGGGAAACCCCUGGUCGACUCCGAGUCGACCUCGACGCCGGCGGCGCUCCGGUGUCGUUAUCCCUCUUGAGGGCGGGUCGAGCUUCCAGAUCUGCUCCCCUCCUCCCCCUUCGUCCCUGGGCGAAAGUCUUGGCCUUUUGACCGGAAGGCGGAGGCGUUCGGGCGUCUCGGUCCUCCUUGGAGGCGCCGUUCAGGUUAGGGGUUGCGGGCCUGGUGCAUGGUGGUUGGUGGCGGCGGCGGUGCUCGGCUCCCCUGGUUGCCGGCGUUGGUGCUGGCGUGUGGAUCCUUCCGCAUCUUUCAGCGGCUUCCUGACUUGGCUGCUGGUUGGCUUGCCAGCUGGUGGUGGGCAUCCGCGUGUUUGGCACGGUCUAGACGAAGGGGAGAUAGUGGUCUCCCCUCCGGCAGUGGCCCGUGGCAGCGGGCGGUGA
rnacentral:rRNA from 1 species